rnacentral:rRNA from 1 species
UACGUAGGGUGCAAGCGUUUAAUCGGAAUUACUGGGCGUAAAGCGUGCGCAGGCGGUGAUGUAAGACAGUUGUGAAAUCCCCGGGCUCAACCUGGGAACUGCAUCUGUGACUGCAUCGCUGGAGUGCGGCAGAGGGGGAUGGAAUUCCGCGUGUAGCAGUGAAAUGCGUAGAUAUACGGAGGAACACCAGCGGCGAAGGCGGGUAGCUGGGCCAACACUGACGCUGAUGCGCGAAAGCUAGGGGAGCAAACGGG